rnacentral:tRNA from 1 species
GGGCCCAUAGCUCAGCGGUAGAGCAGCUGACUCAUAAUCAGUUGGUCGGAGGUUCGAAUCCUCCUGGGCCCACCA